GACGGGGGCCCGCACAAGCGGAGGAACAUGUGGUUUAAUUCGAUGAUACGCGAGGAACCUUACCCGGGCUUGAAAUGUGCAUGACGGGAGGCAGAGACGCCUCCUUCCUUCGGGCAUGCAUGUAGGUGCUGCAUGGUUGUCGUCAGCUCGUGCCGUGAGGUGUCGGCUUAAGUGCCAUAACGAGCGCAACCCCUUCCGCCGGUUACCAUCGGGUCAUGCCGGGGACUCCGGCGGCACUGCCGCCGCAAGGCGCGAGGAAGGCGGGGAUGACGUCAAAUCAGCACGGCCCUUACGUCCGGGGCCACACACGUGUUACAAUGGGGGGCACAGCGAGCUGGACCAGGGCGACCUGGUUCGAAUCAUGAAAUCCCCUCCCAGUUCGGACCGGAGUCUGCAACCCGACUCCACGAAGCCGGAUUCGCUAGUAAUCGCGCAUCAGCCAUGGCGCGGUGAAUACGUUCCCGGGCCUUGUACACACCGCCCGUCAAGCCAUGAAAGCCUGGGGCGCCUGAAGUCCGUUGCGGCGACGCGCGGCCGAGGGCGAUACAGGUGGUUGGGGCUAAGUAAGUAACAAGGGUAGG
rnacentral:rRNA from 1 species